ACCUUCCCAAAUCGCGGUCUCAGCUCUGCUCCGCCCUCGCCCACCCGCCCGUUUCGCAUGCCCCCAAAUCCACCGUGGCCGCGCCGCCGUAGCAGCAGCACCACCCCGUCAUCGGCGGCAGGAGGAACAGCAGCAACGAGGAGGCGUUUCAGGAGGUGGACCCGACCGGGCGGUUCGGGCGGUACGUGGCCAUGCCGGGAUGGGCUCCGUCAAGAAGGUUCGACCAAGAGGAGUGCAUCGAGGUGGCGUGGAACCGGGUGCGCCUGCGCGCGCUGGACCCCGCCAUGGUCGACCGCCGCCAUGCCGAGGUGCGCCUUCUCCGCUCCCUCCAUCGUGACCACAUCAUAGGCUUCCACGAGGUCUGGCUCGACCAUGACGCUGGCGUGCUGAACUUCAUCACCGAGGUUUGCAACUCGGCGAGCCUUCGCAAGUAUUUCGACCGCCACAAGCACGUCUCCGUCAAAGCGCUCAAGAAGUGGGCGCUCCUUGAGGGCCUUGACCACCUUCACACCCGCGACCCCUGCAUCAUCCACCGCGACCGUACUUGCAGCAACGUCUUCAGCAACAGCAACACCGACCAUGUAAUACCUGUGCCAAUCAAUCUCGCUCGCCUAGCUAAUUGCCUAUCCUCUCACACUUCUUGGUUCGGACAGCCUCAACGGCGACGAGGACAACAGUAGGAUCUAACGUACGGUUCUUGGUCCACCCUUUUCAUCGUACUGGAUUAGGAAUGCUUUCUUGUACCUGGUGCUGAUGGUUGGGGUUCUGCAGACUUGGCAGAGAUCGUGAAUUUUCUCGGUAUCAUGCAAAGCGAUUCAGUUGAGAGGAAUGCAACUCUUUGUUCUUUGAGGCUUACUUUUCUUUAGUGUUAGAUUUUGUUACAUAUCUGCUGUGUGACGAGAAUUGCAAACUCAGAUUCAGCGGGCGCCAUCUUUUGUGGUGUUGCAUGCCAGAGGCAGGCAGUUGGAGCUUCUCCGUCUAAUUGUUAACUUGGUGGAAGCUAGCUGCUAUACCGACAACCUAGAGUGAAGCCAAAUCAGGAGCUUGGAUGAUGUCAGGUUGAAUCUUGAGGUUCUCAAGUACUUGUGAUGAAUAGUUCAGUGAAAUGUACAAAGGGAUAACCUUGGAUGCAGUACUGGAGCAUAGGCGGGACACUACUGGUCCUUGCCCCCACCUCCCUUCCUAGAGGAAAUUUUACCAAAUAUGCUUAUAUUUCUGCUAAUCGUUCUACUAACCCUCCGGCGUCUCUGAUCACCCUAGCCUUUUUUAUGUCAUACACUCAUUUUGGCCCCUCCUAAUAUCUGGUUCAUGCUCCCCCACAGCUUAGAUUGUGAAGACUUGCUUAGUCCAUCCUUUUGCUUUGCUUACUAAUGAUGCCCCAAGAUGCAAAAUACUAAUUAUUUUGCUUUAUGUGUGUGCUACAUUUUAGAUGCAAUUGCUGAUCAACAUCUUUGGCUUCACGGUUAUUCAUGGAAACUGGAUGUGGCAAUGAAACAAAAGGACUUGCACUGGUUGGGAGGCAUGGAGAGUUCAAGUACUAUCUGGGAUACUACUUACAUUGCUAAUAAGUUAACGUCUGGUCCUAAUACUAGGAUUCCCAGCUAUCUUAGUUUCAAGCCCUGUAUGCUGAUUUGAUUGAAGGUGGAAAUGGGACUCCUUUUGGUGCUUAAGUAAUAACUCAAUGAUAGCGGGAACUGGUUGAAUUAUCAAUAUACAUUUGGGCAUAGAGCACGAGGAUGUAUGAAACUUCUGAACACUUUCAGGUUGUCGGACAAACUGCAACUAUGAACAGUAUGCCUCAUUUGACUCUUGUGGGGGUAGAGCGAUAAAAUAAACAUGUCAUCACUAGGCGAGUUCAAACACUGGAUGGCAAGGCGAUCAUCUAUUUGAAUACACUUAUUCAUUUCAAGGAGGUAGAAGGCGGUGCAGAAGCUGCAGUUUUGACCCCACUUGUGCUAGCCAAUUUUUUUUCUUUGAGAUUUGUGCCAGCCAAUUUGGGUAUGAGUGAUGCUCACGGAGGCCAUUCUACAUAGCUGAUGGACUGUCAUGUCUAUAUAAUUCUUAUAUAGCUGACAAUUCAAUCAUGAAAUGCUAGGGCUCCAUGGAAGGAAAAGGAAAAUGCGUCUGCAAAAUCAGUAGAUUUUGUGAUGGAAGGAUUGGUAGAUUUGAUAUUAUCUUACAACCUAUAAGAACACCGAAUGUGUGAAACAACAUUCGUUAUUGUCCAGCAACGCGACCAUAAA